rnacentral:tRNA from 2 species
GGUCGCUUAGUUCAGUUGGUUAGAACGCAUCCUUCACACGGAUGAGGUCACAAGUUCGAGUCUUGUAGCGACCACCA